CAGUCUGGGUUCUACGACUGAACGAACAACAUCGCUUAGAAUUUUAAGGUGGCAUCUGAGUUUAAAUAAAGAACACGUGGAAGCAAAUAAUAAUGGAAGAUAACAUCAAUAUCAGUUACAGCAACAUUGGAAGUCUUGAGUAAAUACCAAAAAGGAAAUAUCAACAAAUUUAAAUAUAAGUUUCAACCAGUAAUGCCGGUCAUUAUAAAACUCAGAUAGCCACCUUAAUUAUGGGACCAUCUCCUACUUUGGAGUACCCAAUUUUGCAUUGUUUUUGAAAGA
rnacentral:lncRNA from 1 species